rnacentral:rRNA from 1 species
UGGGGAAUAUUGCGCAAUGGGCGAAAGCCUGACGCAGCCACGCCGCGUGAGCGAUGAAGGCCCUCGGGUCGUAAAGCUCUGUGGAGGGAGAAGAAAAAGGCCAGUGAAGAGCUGGUUAUGACGGUAUCCCUUUAGCAAGCACCGGCUAACUCCGUGCCAGCAGCCGCGGUAAUACGGAGGGUGCAAACGUUGCUCGGAAUUAUUGGGCGUAAAGCGCACGUAGGCGGCUACGCAAGCGGGAUGUGAAAGCCCCGGGCUCAACCUGGGAUGUGCAUCCCGAACUGCGUAGCUUGAGUACCAGAGGGGGGCAGAGAAUUCCCGGUGUAGAGGUGAAAUUCGUAGAUAUCGGGAGGAAUACCAGUGGCGAAGGCGCUGCUCUGGAUGGAUACUGACGCUGAGGUGCGACAGCGUGGGGAGCGAACAGG